AGAGUUUGAUCCUGGCUCAGGAUGAACGCUAGCUACAGGCUUAACACAUGCAAGUCGAGGGGCAGCAUGAGCUCAGCUUUGCUGGGUUUGAUGGCGACCGGCGCACGGGUGAGUAACGCGUAUCCAACCUGCCCUUUACUCCGGGAUAGUCUCCUGAAAGGGAGUUUAAUACCGGAUGUGUUUGUCUUUCCGCAUGGGAGCGACAAAUAAAGAUUGAUUGGUAAAGGAUGGGGAUGCGUCCCAUUAGCUUGUUGGCGGGGUAACGGCCCACCAAGGCGACGAUGGGUAGGGGUUCUGAGAGGAAGGUCCCCCACAUUGGAACUGAGACACGGUCCAAACUCCUACGGGAGGCAGCAGUGAGGAAUAUUGGUCAAUGGGCGGGAGCCUGAACCAGCCAAGUAGCGUGAAGGAUGACGGCCCUACGGGUUGUAAACUUCUUUUAUAAGGGAAUAAAGUUCGCCACGUGUGGUGUUUUGUAUGUACCUUAUGAAUAAGCAUCGGCUAAUUCCGUGCCAGCAGCCGCGGUAAUACGGAAGAUGCGAGCGUUAUCCGGAUUUAUUGGGUUUAAAGGGAGCGUAGGCGGGCUUUUAAGUCAGCGGUCAAAUGCCACGGCUCAACCGUGGCCAGCCGUUGAAACUGCAAGCCUUGAGUCUGCACAGGGCACAUGGAAUUCGUGGUGUAGCGGUGAAAUGCUUAGAUAUCACGAAGAACUCCGAUCGCGAAGGCAUUGUGCCGGGGCAGCACUGACGCUGAGGCUCGAAAGUGCGGGUAUCAAACAGGAUUAGAUACCCUGGUAGUCCGCACGGUAAACGAUGAAUGCUCGCUAUGGGCGAUACAAUGUCCGUGGCCAAGCGAAAGCGUUAAGCAUUCCACCUGGGGAGUACGCCGGCAACGGUGAAACUCAAAGGAAUUGACGGGGGCCCGCACAAGCGGAGGAACAUGU
rnacentral:rRNA from 1 species